rnacentral:rRNA from 1 species
AGUGAACGCUGGCGGUAGGCCUAACACAUGCAAGUCGAACGGCAGCACAGUAAGAGCUUGCUCUUACGGGUGGCGAGUGGCGGACGGGUGAGGAAUACAUCGGAAUCUACUUUUUCGUGGGGGAUAACAUAGGGAAACUUACGCUAAUACCGCAUACGACCUACGGGUGAAAGCAGGGGAUCUUCGGACCUUGCGCGAUUGAAUGAGCCGAUGUCGGAUUAGCUAGUUGGCGGGGUAAAGGCCCACCAAGGCGACGAUCCGUAGCUGGUCUGAGAGGAUGAUCAGCCACACUGGGACUGAGACACGGUCCAGACUCCUACGGGAGGCAGCAGUGGGGAAUAUUGGACAAUGGGCGCAAGCCUGAUCCAGCCAUACCGCGUGGGUGAAGAAGGCCUUCGGGUUGUAAAGCCCUUUUGUUGGGAAAGAAAAGCAGCAGGUUAAUACCCCGCUGUUCUGACGGUACCCAAAGAAUAAGCACCGGCUAACUUCGUG